UACGUAGGCAGCAAGCGUUGUUCGGAAUUACUGGGCGUAAAGAGUGUGUAGGCGGUGCUCCAAGUCUGGUGUGAAAUCUCACAGCUUAACUGUGAAACUGCAUUGGAUACUAUCCGGCUCGAGGAAUGGAGGGGAGACUGGAAUACUUGGUGUAGCAGUGAAAUGCGUAGAUAUCAAGUGGAACACCAGUGGCGAAGGCGAGUCUCUGGACAUUUCCUGACGCUGAGGCACGAAAGCCAGGGGAGCAAACGGG
rnacentral:rRNA from 1 species